CAACAACCUGGGAGAUUCAGGGGCUCAUCAGCUUAGUGAGGGGUCUCAGGAGUGACAACUGUAAAUUAAAGGCACUGGUGUUGAACUCUUGUGGUCUCACCUCGGCCUGCUGCUCAGCUCUCUCCUCGGUCCUCUCGUCUCCAAACUCACGGCUGACUGCACUGGACAUGAACAGAAACAACCUGGGAGAUUCAGGGGCUCGUCAGCUGAGUGAGGGGCUCAGGAGUGACAACUGUAAAUUAAAAGGACUGUGGCUGCGGUUUAACGGGAUCAGUGAGAGUGAGAAGAGGAACCUGAGGUCAGUAGAGGAGGAGCUGAGGAGGUCUGGACGUCAGCUGACUAUCUACACAUGAGAAGACCAGCAGUGGUGAUCAGACUGACCCCCUGUCAGUGACGGAGCCCCCCGUCCACUCUCCCCUAAAUUCUCCUCUUUCUUCUUUUUGUUCUCCUCUCAGCUCUGCUACUAAUUUAAU